rnacentral:rRNA from 1 species
GAUGAACGCUGGCGGCGUGCCUAAUACAUGCAAGUCGAGCGAACAGAUAAGGAGCUUGCUCCUUUGACGUUAGCGGCGGACGGGUGAGUAACACGUGGGUAACCUACCUAUAAGACUGGGAUAACUUCGGGAAACCGGAGCUAAUACUGGAUAAUAUUUCGAACCGCAUGGUUCGAUAGUGAAAGAUGGUUUUGCUAUCACUUAUAGAUGGACCCGCGCCGUAUUAGCUAGUUGGUAAGGUAACGGCUUACCAAGGCGACGAUACGUAGCCGACCUGAGAGGGUGAUCGGCCACACUGGAACUGAGACACGGUCCAGACUCCUACGGGAGGCAGCAGUAGGGAAUCUUCCGCAAUGGGCGAAAGCCUGACGGAGCAACGCCGCGUGAGUGAUGAAGGUCUUCGGAUCGUAAAACUCUGUUAUUAGGGAAGAACAUACGUGUAAGUAACUGUGCACGUCUUGACGUUACCUAAUCAGAAAGCCACGGCUAACUACGUG